UGAAGUGAAUCCUGGGCCGGUCGCCUACGAGCCACGACGAUCCAACGGCACGGGUCGGCCGGGCGCCUUUGCGGAUCCCUAACCACCAGCGAAGAGAGACCUUCUUCCCCACGCCGCCACCUCCCGUCUCAGCAGAUCACUGUCCCAUUGUUCAGCCGCCGUUCUCUUGGUGCAUCUGAGUUUACAACGCUCCCGAGAGUGAUUACUGAUGGGAAAUCCCCGUGAGCAACUCCUAUACAUCCAUAGAAUCUGAGCACCAACAAACAAUAAUUUUCUUGGAUUCCUCUGAUCCAAAUAUGAAGAUGCACCGCGCAUGCAAAAUCUGUGGAGAAAUAGGACACACCUACAAGGAACACCAGGAUGGAUGCCCCUACUGUGAAGCGAGUCAUUUGGGUGAAGAAUGUCCCACUAUGCAAGUCACGUGUUUCAUGUGUGAAGCGAUUAACCACAAUCCAGCCCAGUGUCGUCUACUCACCAAGACACAAGAAGUGGUUCAGCAACAGAGGAAAGGAAUGAAGGAAGCUAUCCAGGAAUUCAUGGCAGCACCCAUGAAGAGAAGGAAGAAGAGGCGCUACGCCAAGAAGUGUAGAACAAGGGGCACUGUGCCAACGCGUGUCCAGAACUGAAAGGAGAGAGAGAGAAAGAUGGGGGCGCUACUCCAGCCCGUGUCCAGAAUUGAAAAGAGGGAGAGGGAGAUGGGAACCUUGGAGCAAAGAAGCCCCAUGACUUGUCAGGAGUAAUUUGUUUGAUACUCUUCCUUUCUGUAAGAAUUCAUUCAGUACACUAUUCCAAGGGAGCUAAUGUUAGUAAUUGGAGGACAGCUAUCUGAGGCAAGCAAUAAGUGUAUUAGGAAACUUUUUACGUUAUCUUGGAGAUGCUGGGUUGAGACGUGCAAUGUCAAUGGAAGAGGCUAUACAUUUCCUGUGUUGUGAUUGCUAUUUCUUUUGUGAGCAGAAUAUGACUAGUGGGUCCUUGCGCGGUGCUUUGCUGGUAUGUCAAUGUGCUGGGGUUUUUUGUUGUAUUUGGCGUAAACUUGUAGCUUCGCUUGU